UAAAAAGCUCGUAGGUGGAUUUCUGUUGAAUGAGGCCGGUCCAUACCACGUAUGCGCAUCUGGUCCUCUUUCGGCAUCCUUGCAUUGGACGUUUUUGCGCUUGAUUGCGUGAGGCGGUUGGUGCAACUUUUACUUUGAGGAAAUUAGAGUGUUCACGGCAGGCUAUCGCCCGAAUACAUUAGCAUGGAAUAAUGAGAUAGGAUUCCGGUUCUAUUUUGUUGGUUUCUAGAAUUGGAAUAAUGAUUAAUAGGAACAGUUGGGGGUAUCCGUAUCAUGGCGUCAGAGGUGGAAUUCUUGGAUUGCCAUGCGACGAACUACUGCGAAAGCAUUUACCAAGGAUGUUUUCGUUGAUCAAGAACGAAAGUAUGGGGAUCGAAGACGAUUAGAUACCGUCGCAGUCUAUACCAUAAACUAUGCCAACUAGGAAUGAGACGGAUGUAUAUUUUAUGACCCGUUUCGCGCCUUAUGAGAAAUCAAAGUUUUUGGGUUCCGGGGGGAGUAUGGUCGCAAGUCUGAAACUUAAAGGAAUUGACGGAAGGGCACCACCAGGAGUGGAGCCUGCGGCUUAAUUUGACUCAACAC
rnacentral:rRNA from 1 species